rnacentral:rRNA from 1 species
GACGAACGCUGGCGGCGUGCUUAACACAUGCAAGUCGAACGGAAAGGCCCUGCGUUUGUGGGGUGCUCGAGUGGCGAACGGGUGAGUAACACGUGAGUAACCUGCCCUUGACUUUGGGAUAACUUCAGGAAACUGGGGCUAAUACCGGAUAGGAGCUCCUGCUGCAUGGUGGGGGUUGGAAAGUUUCGGCGGUUGGGGAUGGACUCGCGGCUUAUCAGCUUGUUGGUGGGGUAGUGGCUUACCAAGGCUUUGACGGGUAGCCGGCCUGAGAGGGUGACCGGCCACAUUGGGACUGAGAUACGGCCCAGACUCCUACGGGAGGCAGCAGUGGGGAAUAUUGCACAAUGGGCGGAAGCCUGAUGCAGCAACGCCGCGUGCGGGAUGACGGCUUUCGGGUUGUAAACCGCUUUCGCCUGUGACGAAGCGUGAGUGACGGUAAUGGGUAAAGAAGCACCGGCUAACUACGUG